UACGGGGGGAGCAAGCGUUGUUCGGAUUUACUGGGCGUAAAGGGCGCGUAGGCGGCCAGCGCAAGUCAGUUGUGAAAUCUCCGGGCUUAACUCGGAAAGGUCAACUGAUACUGCGCGGCUAGAGUGCAGAAGGGGCAACUGGAAUUCUCGGUGUAGCGGUGAAAUGCGUAGAUAUCGAGAGGAACACCUGCGGCGAAGGCGGGUUGCUGGGCUGACACUGACGUUGAGACACGAAAGCGUGGGGAGCAAACAGG
rnacentral:rRNA from 1 species